AUUUUAACCUCAGUACGCGAAGCGGGAGUCUCAAGUUGUGUCCGUCUUUCUACCAACAUAAGAACAGACCGAAGCCCAGAGGAGAAGUGGUCCCUGCUGGUUUAGAGGAGGCUGUUCAGGCCCUGGGAGGCCACACUAGUGCAACUCCAACCAGCUGGCACGACUCUGCCUGCUAUAUAUGAGCAGGAAUAGCCCCUGGUGACGCGUACACUGCCCAGCGUGGCCACAGCUGCCGUGGCACUCCAUCCUCCAUCCUACAUCCUCCGUCCUCCAUCCUCCCCCUUCGUGCUCUACAAGCAGGAUCCAUUCUUCUGUGUCUGGGUCGAAUCGUGCGACGAGGGCGGUCCGACCUCCCACCAGGACGCAGACCACACGACGACGCCUCUGCUCACUCUUUUCUUCUCCACUCUCAACUGCUCCUUUUAUGAGAGCAGCGUCGGCUGCUGGCUGAUUGCCAAUCCGCCAGAGCCACAGCCGAGGCCAAAUUGGAGAACCCACAACCACAUUUAUAUGGUACUUUAUUUCCAUGUUGUGCCACUUUAUACUUUAACUCAGAAGGAAACACCACUAUUCACUUCUAAUCAAUCAGAAGUGACAACUUCAGCUGCUAGUUAAAAAUAUUCUACAUGCAAACAUAAGACUUGCAGAGUAAUAACUCCAUCUUGACAAUCUAAUAUAAUAUAAUAUCUACAUUUUUGAAGGGGUCAAUCUACAUUAUUGGCAGUGGCGGCUGGUGAAAUUUCUUUUUGGUAUGGCCAUCCAAUCAAUUUCAGCAAACCCAUUUUUUUUUCAUCCCAGUAUGAUUCAAUGCAAAAUAAGUAUCAAACACGCAUUUCUACUUUGUAGUUAAAUAUUUAAAAUGUAUUCCAACACUGACAUAAUAAGGAUAUCUUAUUCAUACAAUUCAGUCUAUUAAUAUAUAUAUAUAUCAUAUUAUAAAUUGUGCUUCUUUGAUGACCUUCUAAAACCUGCAGUGUUUACAGUAAGCCGCUAAAUUACAAAUAACUCUUAAACAGAGAUUAAGUGACUCUGGUAACCACAUCUGACAGUAACACAGAAGAAAUAAAGAUUUAAUAUAUCCAAGAUAUAAAGAUUUUUGCCUGGACUUCACGAUUAAGUACCAGUGAAAGGAAAACCAGUGUACGUGGGGCAGCUGUGCAACUCAGGAGGGGGCCAAAAGUUGUGUCCAUUGAGGUAGAUAAUAUAAAUCUAUAACAUAUACAUAGAUAUACAUAUAAAUCUAUAAAAUAUAUACAGAUAUUGCAUGCAG